CUGCUGGUUGCCUGCGGACCACCAUUUGUGAACCCCUGCCACAGACUAUAAUGCCAAAGCUGCCUCUCAGGAAGAGUUGCUUGGACAAGAUGCCAGGGUUGCUGUCAUCUAAAGGAGGAAUAGUGUCAAAGCAGUAAUCUGGUAAGAGUUUAUAAAAAGCAUUGUUGGCAGGCAGAUCUCAGAUUUGCAGAUUUACCUUGUUUUUAACUAUAACCCCCCCAGAUCCACCAGCUGGAGCCCUGAUGCAAAACCCAUAAACUUAGAAUUAAAUAAGUCUGAGCCCGGAAAUUAAGUUUUGAGUAUCUGAACUGGAUGGAGCUCAAAAUCUUCCACACAAAAACCUACUCUGUGUUACCCAGAGCAUUCUUCAUUUAAACAGCUUAAGUUGAAGUGGGGCAUUUUGUCGCUCCUUUUGUUAUCAGAAAUCAUUGCCAAUCUGCUGCAAAUCACCCAGAGAUCUACUUUGCACUAAGGGAUGUAGAUAGGAAGUUGUGGGAAGAAGGAAAAUGAUAUGGAAGAAAGCAGGUUUUGGAGAGGCAGCCUACAACAACUGAAUGGGAGCAUCAGCGUGAGAUCACAAUAGCCAUUCCUUGGAGCUGGCAGCAUCAGCAUGAUGUCACCAUGUCCAGUCUCUGCCCCUCAGUGAAGCAGUGUCAGAAUGAGAUCACAAUGGCUAGUCCCUCCCCCUAAAGCAGUAAUCAUAAUCAUGAAGUCACAAUGCCCAGUCCGCCUCCUUCAAGCAGGCUACAUCAUCAGGAGCCCACAAUGUUCAGUCAAGCAGUAUCAGCAUAAGGUUGCUAUGGCAGUCCCUCUCUUUCAAGUAGGAAGGGAUAUAUUGUGCUCUGUAGUCAUCAAUCUCCUUGAAGCUGGCAGUAAAAAGGUAAAAGGUAAAGGACCCCUGGACAGUUAAGUCCAGUCAAAUGUGACUGUGGGGUUGCGGAGCGCAUCUCGCUUUCAGGCUGAGGGAGCCAACAUUUGUCCACGGAUAGCUUUCCGGGUCAUGUGGCCAGCAUGACUAAACUGCUUCUGGCACAACGGAACACCAUGACGGAAACCAAAGCGCACGGAAACACCGUUUACCUUCCCGCCUCAGCAGUACCUAUUUAUCUACUUGCACUGGCAUGCUUUCGAACUGGUAGGUUUGCAGGAGCUGGGACAGAGCCACAGGAGCUCACCCCAUUGCGGGGAUUUGAACCGCCAACCUUCUCAUCGGCAAGCCCAAGAGGCUCAGUGGUUUAGACCACAGCACCACCCGUGUCCCUGAAGCUGGCAGUAACAGUGGGCAGAGGCAGUCAUUGUCUGGCAUCCCAAAGACAUAGCAGUUGCAUGUGAGUUCUGAUCAUCUUUUUCCAUUGAACUGAGUCCAAACUAUUCUAUGAUUCCCUAACAUUUUUGGCAUUGUCAGAAACAACAACUUCCAAUUCUGAUUUUUAUAACAUUUUUUGGGGGGGGAGGGUGUGUAUGCUUCCCCAUUCAUAAACAUUGCCCUUGCUUGUGCUCAUUUCUGCUUGUAUUCAUUGAAACAGGUAGAAGUUUGAUGUAGACACACAAAGCAGGCAGAGGAGUCACAUGGCUCCAGGCUGAGUAUGCAUUUCUGCAGCUUCACUCCACUCAUGUUCCUUCUUCCAAUGAUAAUAUCCGAGGAGGGCUAUAGCUGCUUCUGAUUGGCCAUUAAGCAAACUGAUAUCAUCCCUUUCAACCUUCAAAUUCAUUUGGAUUGCUCACAGACUGAUUGAUUUGAUGGAGGAAGAUGAUAUAUAAAUCCUGUCAAAGGCCUGAUGCAAUUUACAAUACACAAAAAUACAGAAUAGAGCCCCUGUAACCAAGCCAGGAAGUUGGAGGGUGCAGCAACCAGGAUCAGCAAUGAUUGAGCAAACAGCAGGAGUAAGUUGAUCUGAACAGCACUGUGAAAGGAGGUGAAUAUUUCCAUGAUCUAUCAACAAGUUUCUUGGAGGGGGAUUUCCAUCCUUACAAAAUGGCUUUCUUCUGGGAUAUAUUUUUUAAAAAAAGACUGUUCAGCAUGGAGAUCAUUUCCCAAACUUUUCAUGGUCCGUACAUAAAAUGUAGUCUCAGCCCCUAUAGCAUGAAACUGGCCCGAAUUCUCCCCCAUCCAUAUUUCCUAGUUAAAGGGGUUUUGUCAGCAUUGCCAUUAUCAGCAGCUGGGAAAGUCCAAAACACUGAUCACUUUAUUUAUUGAUGCUGAGCUUGCCAUGUGGCAAUGGGUGAAAUUUGCAGAGACUGCCCUUUAACAAAGAUAUGCAGUCAGCAAACCAUCUUAUCUUAUGUAUAUAUGUGUGGCAUCAAAUAUCCCAAUGGAUCUCAUCAAGCAAGCUUCAUGCAAAUACGUGAGCACUACUAACUGACCUUUGUAGACUCAGCAUUAAAUUUACUAUUUGGAUGAAAAA